AGUGAACGCUGGCGGUAGGCCUAACACAUGCAAGUCGAACGGCAGCACAGGAGAGCUCGCUCUCUGGGUGGCGAGUGGCGGACGGGUGAGGAAUACAUCGGAAUCUACUCUGUCGUGGGGGAUAACGUAGGGAAACUUACGCUAAUACCGCAUACGACCUACGGGUGAAAGCAGGGGACCUUCGGGCCUUGCGCGAUUGAAUGAGCCGAUGUCGGAUUAGCUAGUUGGCGGGGUAAAGGCCCACCAAGGCGACGAUCCGUAGCUGGUCUGAGAGGAUGAUCAGCCACACUGGAGCUGGGACACGGUCCAGACUCCUACGGGAGGCAGCAGUGGGGAAUAUUGGACAAUGGGCGCAAGUCUGAUCCAGCCAUACCGCGUGGGUGAAGAAGGCCUUCGGGUUGUAAAGCCCUUUUGUUGGGAAAGAAAUCCAGCUGGCUAAUACCCGGUUGGGAUGACGGUACCCAAAGAAUAAGCACCGGCUAACUUCGUGCCAGCCGCCGCCGUAA
rnacentral:rRNA from 1 species